rnacentral:rRNA from 1 species
UACAAAGGUCCCAAGCGUUGUUCGGAUUCAUUGGGCGUAAAGGGUGCGUAGGCGGCGCGGUAAGUCGGGUGUGAAAUCUCGGAGCUUAACUCCGAAACUGCAUUCGAUACUGCCGUGCUUGAGGACUGGAGAGGAGACUGGAAUUUACGGUGUAGCGGUGAAAUGCGUAGAUAUCGUAAGGAAGACCAGUGGCGAAGGCGGGUCUCUGGACAGUUCCUGACGCUGAGGCACGAAGGCCAGGGGAGCAAACGGG